rnacentral:rRNA from 1 species
UACGUAGGGUGCAAGCGUUGUCCGGAAUUAUUGGGCGUAAAGAGCUCGUAGGCGGUUUGUCGCGUUGUCCGUGAAAUUCCCUGGCUUAACUGGGGGCGUGCGGGCGAUACGGGGCAGACUGGAGUACUGCAGGGGAGACUGGAAUUCCUGGUGUAGCGGUGGAAUGCGCAGAUAUCAGGAGGAACACCGGUGGCGAAGGCGGGUCUCUGGGCAACAACUGACGCUGGAGGAGCGAAAG